rfam:Acidithiobacillus caldus SM-1, complete genome.
GAAAGCCGUGUGCGGGAAAACUGCACGCACGGUUUGACGGGGGGUCGCUGGGGAGAUCACUUCAAACCAGAGACCUACCCUAC